GCCUUCGUGGUGUAAUGGUAGCAUACUCGACGCGUAUUCAAGAGGUCCAGGUUCGAGUCCUGGCGAAGGCA
rnacentral:tRNA from 1 species